GCCUUCGUGGUGCAGUGGUCAGCACGCUCGACGCGUAAUCGAGAGGUCCGUGGUUCGAGUCCCGGCGAGGGCA
rnacentral:tRNA from 1 species